AUACUGCUUAAAAUAGUGUUUUAAUAAAUAUAUGUGAUGUGGCCUUUAGUUUCAUUGAAGGAAAGCUCACCAUAGGAGGAACAGAAGUGUAUUUGUCUAGUGUUUAUUAUGAAGGAUUUGUAACUCUUCCUAUAAAGAGCACUGAACCUGUAAAUGAGAACAAAAUACCGUUUCAGUUUGGGACCACAUUUUCAAAGCAUAGUAUAGUUUAAAAUCAUAAGCAUGGAACGAGCAGAUUUAUGAUCAUUCUUUACUUGUAUGGAAAAAUCUACUGCAAUUGUAUGCUUGCCUUGAACAUUUCUGUAUUAAGAACAAAAAAGACUUUCCAAAUAUUUGGUAGACCAAACUAGAAAUAUGCCAAAACCUGAGACUUUUCCCAAGUGGUUGGCUAAAGAAUCACUUUUAAACUGAGCAAAACAGAGCCUAAGUUCAUUCUUUUGUGUUGAUAUUGUUACAGGAUUAUUACAUCCCCUUGAACCAAAUCACUGCCUCGGAUGCAUUGAGUUUGUGGUCCAGUUGUUUGUACUGCUGUUGCCUUGCCUGCCCUUCAAAGGGAAUGUGUUCAAACUGAAGUUCAAAUCUUAAAACCACACAUUUUUUCAGUUCUUUCAGGCAGAAUCUCACUAUUUUGAGUCUUGGAAAAUAUAAUUUCUGCUAUUCCUAGGAGACUGAUGCAAUGAAGACUUUUGGUUUGCAUAAAGAUUCAUUGUGAACUUUAUGUGGAUAGUAUGUUUUAAGUACCUUUAGUUAGAUUAAUAGAAGUUAUUAAAAGUAGAUCUUGUUUACCCUUUUCAUGCCUGAAUAAUAACUUCAUUCACUGACUCUUGAACAAACCAAAUGUUCUCAGGUUUCAUUUUUUGCAUUAAAAUACUUGUAUUACAGAAGUGCAAUUCUGUAGUACAUUUGAUAGUUGAGGGUUUAUAUUUUAUGCUUCAUGUGACUGUCCUGUUUUACAGUCUGUUUUCCUUCCUACCUGUAUGAUUUAUCAUAUACUGUAAAGAGCAGUUUAUUAACUGGAGUUUGUUUGUUCUCAGGCUCUUCUUGUCGGUCAGCAUUUAGUGUUUGGGGUUUUUUUCCCCAUUUUUAGUUCUUAAUUUAACAACUAAACAGUUUUAUUCACUGAAUGCUAAUAAUUGCCAAUGCGUACUUAAAACACACAACCCAAAGAGCCUUUUGUUCAGAAGAAACGAUAGAGGUUUCUGAAGCAGAGUGUUCCAUGUGCAGGUGUUUUCUAAGAAGCAGUGUGUGUUGCUCAGAAGCAGAUAAGGAAAACUCUUCUUUUUUGGUUCUCUUGCCAGGCCCAGUGUUUUACUGAACCCUGUAAAUGGCUGCAAGUACCCAGGAAAUCUAAACAGAUGUGACCCUAGUCAUGGGAGAAACUUGAUGGUUUGAAGGACUUUUAGGAAGGUAUUGAAGGUACAGAUUUAUGGCUCUGCUGCGAAUUCUUAAGUUGUUGGAAGUGGCCUGAUGCUUCAGAGAAGCAAACACUUGCCAAAUGGUGUGUAAAGCAAUUCUUAUCACUGCCAACAGGUUACAUGGUCUUCUUGAGUAACUCCUGUGAUUAUACAUCUAAAAUGAGAUACACAUAGCACAGUUCAGAAGCUAGACUACUGUAAUGCUUCACUCUCAGGCAUGCACUGCAAUUUUACUUACCUGUGGGGCUGGGCGAGCUCAUUUGCAAGAAGGAGGUGUCAAUUGAAAAAAAGAAUUGUGUGUUUUGACAAUUUCUUGCAAAAAUGAAGGUACAAAUUAAGCUUUUUUUGUAGAGCUGAGCUACCUGGUUGCAUACAGUGAAUAUCCAUGGCUUCUGAUAACCUGCAUGUCUCAUGAGGAUACUAAGUAAUGAGGAGUUCAAAUGUGUGCAGCUAUGCCCUCAAAAUAUUGGUGUUUGGCAUACAAGGGAAGAGGAGCUUGCCUCUGCAUACUCUUAACUGCAUCUGGGCAAAAGCUUUUUAGUCUUCAGAAUUUCUCAGCUAGCCUCCUAGAAACUGCUGAGGUAGGAAUUAACAACCAGAAUUUCAGGCCUCAGAGUCCUGGUGCCUGUUUGUAGUGGGCCAUCUGCAUAGACGUGAAAAAAAUUCACUUGUAGAACAAGAUCUAAAUUUUAACUUCCUCAGCUAUUAAUAGAGCUUAGCCAGCCUGUUUGUAACUUGAACUGCUCUGUGGUGGUCAGUUCCUAAUCCUGGGGCAUUUAAGACCUGUAAGAUCUUUCUAGUGCCUCUAAUUACUUUUUGAGCACAUACUGUACAUAUUUAUAUCCCAGAGGCUAACCUGGUUUCCCUGACUUCUGUUACCAUCAGGCAGUCUUUUAAAAGAAAUUAAAUAUGUUCUUUGUGCUUUAAAAAGCCUAAACUCAGUGUAUUUGUGGUUGGAAUUUCCUGGACUAAAGAAUGGCACCUUGUCUACAAAGAAGCUGGUACUGAUCCCAGUGUUAUUUGGGAAGGAUUCUGCUACUGAAAUGGAGAGCACCUGUACCUGUGUUAGCUUGCCUCAGGAGGAACGUGAAGGGCCUGUCUGCUUUGAAAAUAGGCGUUCGAGAUCUUUUUAGCAGUACCAUUGCUGUAAUGCAAGAAAGAAAACAUUAGUACAGUGUGUCCACUUUCAGUCCCUCUCCCACACUGUACUCAGUGUCUGAUGCUUGGCACCUUGACUUUUCAGUUGCUUCUCUGCUGCUGAGCUCCACCUGGCUUUGCAUUUCAAAGGUACAGCGUGUGUCUGACUCCAAGUCAUAGAAGAAUCCUACACUACAUGAUCUGUGCCCAGAUUCCUUUCAGCAUCAUGACUGUGGGAUGUCUGCAAUGAGUGGCCUAACAUCAUGAGCAAAGCAAUGAAAUGCAUCUUGCCCUGAGCCGCAGUCAAGAACCACCAGCAUUUGCUGUGUGUACAUGUAGCACAUCCACGGUCAGCACAGUCCAGGGAAGCAGGAAGAAUCUAAGGUUCAUGUGUCUGGCUGAAAUACUUAAGAGUUAACUAAUUCAGUGACUCAUCGCUCUCUAAAACUACCUGAAAGGACAUUGUGGAGAGGUAGGGCAACUCAACCACACUGAAAUUCUCAAGAGCUGCAGUCUGGAACUGGCCUCUAUCCCCAAAAGCCUAUCCAGCUGCAGAGAGGUCACACAUUUCAGAGCAGAUGAAAAGCUGAUUCAGACAGGACCGAACUGAAUUGGACAACUGCAGAAAAAGACUGGUAGAGAAUUGGAGUUUCUCUUCUUUUUGAAGAGAUUAGAAGUGACUGGCAUCUUCAUCUUACCUAACAGGAAAUUGAAAGGCAGCUUGGUGCAUGGCAAAUAUAUUGUAAAGCGUGCUGAAAGCCACAGCUCAUGUGGAUUGUGCCACACGCAGCCGAAAUGCAGAGAAAAUGUCUGCUGGAUAUGACGAGCCAGACGAGAAGGCAGCACAACAGAGCUAGCAGUUUCCAGGAGGAAAGAAACAACAAAGACGUGUGUUUGGAGGAGAUUGGAACAGGAAACAGUUCCUUUGGACCAAAACCAGAAGACCUGUGCUAGUGACUGCUUUAAAAGCAAUUGCAGCAUUCCUCAGGUGAUAGGAUCAAAACCUGUCCAUCAUAUUCACAGCUUCAGCCUCACAGCUUCAUGACGGCA